CUUCUGACUUAGGUCUCCUUCUGAACCACUAACGGAGUAAAUGCUUGUAUACACCCCCAUUCAUAUAUGGUACCCAUAACCCCACUGCAUUGCUGGUUGCAUCAGAUGGAGCUGAUUAGAAUUAGAUGAGGUCAUAAGUGCGGAGCCCUCAUAAUGGGGGCUUAGACACGUGAGAGCUUGCUCCUGCUUUGUGUUCUCUGCCACGUGAGAUACAAGUCACCAGCUCAGCCUUGACUCAAAAUGCAGCACACAAGGAUCUAGAGCAGCUGCCAUCUUGCCACAUCAAGUGAUUCACUUCAAGUGCACAAGCUGCCACAGGACAAAGACAACCAGAGAAGAGCCCCCACCACAGAUCUAAGUCACAUCAUGAACCCAGAGGACUAGGAGGCAUUGGCAAGGUAAGAACCAGGUGAAGCCCACAGGCACCUGUUGGCAAAGUGACUUGGAAUCCACACUUCAUAUUGUCAUCAGCAUCCGAAACAUCCAAGACCCAGGGUUAGACGUUGCAAUGAAUGCAGGACAGACAUUUCACUUUGGCAAGCAUUCCUCCUUCCCUCCGAAUCAGCUCUGGGCAUUAAUGAAAAUGUCACUUUCCAGGGUAGCCUUCAUUAGAAGUUCACAGGGCUGAAGGAGCAGCCAUGGUAUCCCAUUAGUCCUACUAGAGUUAUCCUGUCCCUUUCUCUGAAAGCAAUAUCCAGAAGCAUUGGCAUCCUUCUGGGAAGUGGCGGGGUGGGGGGUAAGUGUGGGAGACGCAAAGUGAUUGCUACUGUCCUCUUGUCCUCCUUAUCAGGGUAGCUAUGGAAAAUAGCACCAUGCCUGCUGCCCUACCCCACCAGAACACCUUCCUUUGGCCUCUCAAGGCUAGCAUCCUAGAGCUUUGAGUUCCUCCAAAGCACAAAGGGGUAUGUCAGCUCUGUAGAGCUCUGCCUGGUUAACGAAGCCCAGGAGCCCGUUUCCUAGAAUGGGUAAUCUGAGAUGAAUCCUGUGUUAUUCCUGACUUCCAGUGGAAUUUGGCCAUGAUAUCUUACAGAUGAUCGGCUAAAUGCGCCAUCUAACUCUGGCUGCUUUCCCUUUCAAGCUUUUUCUCCUUGGAGUUUCCUGGGCUCACUUUAAGUCUUAGGAAGAGAAAUCGUCCAUCUCUGGUUCACUCCCCAGAUGGCCACAGUAGCCAAGGCUAGGCCAGGCUGAAACCAAAGCCUAGAACUCCAUACAGGUCUCCCACGUGGGUGGCAGGGGACCAAGCACUCAGACUGUCUGCUGCUUUUCCAGGCACACAAGCAACUCGCUGGAUAGGAAGUGGGACAGUUAGGACAUGAACUGGCACUCAUGGGAUACCGGAGCCAGGCAGCGGGUAUAGUUGCUGUGCCGCAACACUAGCCUGGCAUGCAUACUCAGUAAAGAUUCAAGUUAAUAAACUUUGAAAGUACAACUUUUGGAUUGUAGCAGUUUCCCCCCCCCAUAACCACCUCCUACCCACAAACCAUCCCAUCUCCUACUCACUUUCCUAUCCCAUUCUUAGGAUUCAUUUUUAAUUAUAUAUAGAAGAUCAACUGAGUGCAUACUAAGUAAAGAUUCUACUUUGUGUAUCUGUAGGUACAAUCUGUUAAAGUACUGUUUGAAGACUAAUUUUACCAUUCUCACAGUAAAACACAUUAAGGACAGAGGUCCUACAUGGGGAGCAAGUGCACAGUGACUCCUGUUGUUGAUGUAACAAUUGACACUCUUAUGAUGUCAGUAAUCACCCAAGGCUCUUGUCAUGAGCUGCCAAGGCUAUGGAAGCCUCUUGAGAUCACAAACUCCAACUUUAUUUCAACGGGGCCAUAAUCAAAGUGGAGGUUCUCUCCUCCCUUCAGAGAAAGGUACCUCCUCCUUUGAUGGCCCAUUUCCACUGGGAUCUCAUUCAGAUCUUUCAUUCGGGUCGUUUUUUGUCACAGUGUCUUGGCUUGGAAUCCCUUCUAAGUUUUUGCCAAGAACAGAUCCCAGGUUCUGAACUUAGGGAGUCCAAACUAAGACUCUGGUUUCAUUUCAUAGCUCAAAUGAAAGGACAUUUUAUUCCUUAGAUAAAUGUUAAAUGGUUAUAUUUAUAUCAAGAAUAUAAACAGGGUAUUUUAAAAUUGAAGAUAUUACAGGCUGUGUUGUUAAAUCCCAAGGUUUAAUUUGGGGUGCUAAUGACUGAACAGCAACGGAGCAAACUUACAGGUUUAUAGGUUGUCUAUGAAACAGUGUUUCCAUAACUUCAAACUUCACACACAGGUACACACACACACACACACACAAAAAAAAAUCACACCAGGCCAAUUUGUCCUUGCUCCUUUAGGUUGAAAACUUCAACCAAGGAAGAAACAAUCACAUUCAAAUACUUCCAGACCUCCUCAAAGGAGCAAUCCCCAAGACAAGACUGCAUUCUGCUGGAACAUUCAGAUGUGAAUCAAAGGUCAGGGUAGGCACAACAACUUCAUGCAUGGUGAUUGUCAGGUUUUCGGGAAACUGUCCAAUUCAUGUCCCCUGCUCUGACAAUCACUAGCUGGACGUGACCUGAAGAAUGAAGUCACCAAGAGCCCAACUAAAAUACAACCAAAUAUGGCCGAGUGUCCCACCAUGAGAUGCACCCAGCAGUCACAGGUUAACACUAAGGCAUUGCAGUCCAUCUUCCCAAACACAAACGUCAACGCAGGAUAGACUUGCACUCAGUUGUGUUGUCACCCAUGGAGAGUACACAAAGCUGCGGUAGAACAGAUUUUACAAGCUAACAAGGUCCCUGUCACCCAUGAUCAGAAUUAGCUGUAUCCGUUGGGCCACAAAUAAAAAUGUAGAACCCUCAGGUCUGUGCUUCCACACAGCAGUAUGCAAACCUUGCUCCCUCUGAAAUGCCACUGUCAGUUUUUAGCCCCUAGCAUUUCAUAACUCCAGGACAAGGAUUUGGAGAGGGCUCACCCAGCGUGAACUUUGCCAUUCCCACCUCCUCCUGCUACCUCUGUGAAGUACCAGCUCUGGCAGGUAAGUUUCCCCUCUGCUCAAGUGAUUCCUGGUCAGCCUGGACACAGAUCCACUCCCACGUCCCAUUGUGCAUGCUUGACAAAGUUGAUCAUUCACAAGCAGUAGGACCAGGGAACAAGAUCUUACAGGUCAAGAUGUUACUGAUGAUUUGUGAAUGACAAAGUAGAUAGUAUGUAGUUAUGGUCCCAGAUGAUUGGGAGAGAUACCAGCUUUCUUCAAGAGAAGUCACGGGGACUUAAGUUCCAAGAGAUCAGUUUGGGGAAUACACCCUUAUGUACCAGCCCCCUGAGGCCAGCCACUGUUUCAGUCUACUCCUGGAUCUGGCUGCACAGGACAGAUGUAACAGAAGAUGUCUAAGUAAAACACUGUGUAAUCACAUCUACAUCAGUACUAGAUUCUGCUCAUGUCAAGGAUAUAAUCUGAUUUUUCUUCAACAUAUGUUCAUGCAAACUAUGGGGACGUGGUCAUUAUCAGCUGUGUCUGAUGAAGACAUACUAAGCAGACCACUAGGUUGAAAAUAAAAAUGAUGUUUCAUGUACUAUUUAGUAGAGAAUCCUUUUCAAGGCUGCAGUAAUGUCAAAGAUUGCUUCAAUAAUUUGCAGACAUGGUCAACGUGGACAAGGGAUAGCAGUUACCUUGACACAGCAAGGAAACACUGAGUUCUGUGGUCUUAACUUUAGGUUGACCGUACUUAGGAAUACCUAGAAAUCUAGAAAAGCAUUAUUUUAGUUUGUGUAUGCGGAUGUUCCCAAACAAGACUAGUUUGAAUGGUCUAUGUGGGAAAGACCUGGCCUCAGUGCAGGGGCACACCCUUGACCCAUGAGACCUGGGACACAUUUGGUCUCUGCCUUGGACAUCAGUUGGUGGGCUUUGUGCUCUAGGACUGAAGGUAGUGGCCUCUCGUGGUACUCAGGCUCUUAGCCUCAGUUCACACUGCUAAAGGUAUCGCAGGGUCUCCAGCUGCAGGCCAGCUGCAGUGGAACUUCUCAGCUGCCAUAAUCACAUAAGCCAAUUAAAUCCCCCUUCAUACACACACACACACACACACACACGUGGAUACACUCUCCAUUCUGAGAACCAGCAAGUACAGAUUUUGGUACUCUGUGU